ACUCUCCCGAUGCCAUGCGCUCGGUCGAGAGGAGAAUGGAUCCCUCGGAUGCUAGGCGUGGAUUAGAGAUUAAAGUAGGAGUAUUCGCCCCCACUUAAUUCUUCCCUCCCCUUCGGCAUCGCGGUCCGAUAAGCCAUCAACCACAUCCAUAUAGGCACUGCACGGGGCAGUAUGCCUUCAUUU
ensembl:misc_RNA 7SK 7SK RNA